rnacentral:rRNA from 1 species
ACGUCUCAGUUCGGAUUGGAGUCUGCAACUCGACUCCAUGAAGCUGGAUUCGCUAGUAAUCGCGCAUCAGCCAUGGCGCGGUGAAUACGUUCCCGGGCCUUGUACACACCGCCCGUCAAGCCAUGGAAGCCGGGGGUGCCUGAAGUGCGUGACCGCAAGGAGCGCCCUAAGGUAAAACCGGUGACUGGGGCUAAGUCGUAACAAGGUACC